rnacentral:rRNA from 1 species
UACGAACUGUGCAAACGUUAUUCGGAUUCACUGGGCUUAAAGGGUGCGUAGGCGGCCAUGUAAGUAGGGUGUGAAAUCCCCCGGCUUAACCGGGGAACUGCGCCCUAAACUGUAUGGCUGGAGUGAGAUAGGGAUGUGUGGAACUUCCGGUGGAGCGGUGAAAUGUGUUGAUAUCGGAAGGAACGCCGGUGGCGAAAGCGACACACUGGGUCUCAACUGACGCUGAGGCACGAAAGCCAGGGGAGCGAACGGG